rnacentral:rRNA from 1 species
GACGAACGCUGGCGGCGUGCUUAACACAUGCAAGUCGAACGGAAAGGCCUGCUUUCCCUUGUGGAUUGCGGGUGCUCGAGUGGCGAACGGGUGAGUAACACGUGAGUGAUCUGCCCCCAACUUGGGUAUAAGCCUGGGAAACUGGGUCUAAUUCCCGAUAGGACUGCAGGGUGGUGCCUGUGGUGGAAAACGAUGUUCUAGUGGUUGGGGAUGAGCUCGCGGCCUAUCAGCUUGUUGGUGGGGUAAUGGCCUACCAAGGCGGCGACGGGUAGCCGGCCUGGGAGGGUGGACGGCCACAUUGGGACUGAGAUACGGCCCAGACUCCUACGGGAGGCAGCAGUGGGGAAUAUUGCACAAUGGGCGGAAGCCUGAUGCAGCGACGCCGCGUGGGGGAUGACGGCCUUCGGGUUGUAAACUCCUUUCGACCGCGAGGAAGCCACCUGGUUGGAAGGGUGGUGACGGUAGUGGUAGAAGAAGCACCGGCUAACUACGUG